rnacentral:lncRNA from 1 species
CAUAUUCUCUGCAUCUGUAUUUAUUUAAAAAUGCUUUUGCAACCUGACACUGUUCAGCUUUUUUAUCUUUUACCAGUAUUUGGGGACUUAUUGGGGAUUCCUUUGAUAAUUUCAGGAAGAAAGAAGUGGAAUGGAAGGAGCCAGUAACUGUCCCAGGUCAGAAAACGCCUCUGAAAAGGAUCUACAUUACACCCAAAGUUCAUUGGAUAACUGCACCCUCAACAAUCAGGAGACAAUAAGUGGUGUAGACAGAGCUAAUAUCUUCCCCAAAUCAGAUGGUACCUCUGAAGACAUUCAGCAUUCCACAGACUGUUCACAGGUUGAGACUUUCCACAUUCAGGAGACAAUAAGUGGUACGAACCAAGCCAGUAACUGCCCCAAAUCAGAUGGUGCCUCUGAAGACAAUCAGCAUUGCACAGACAGUUCACAGCAUGACAGUAUCUUCCACAUUCAGGAGACAAUAAAGGGUAUGAACCAAGCCAGUAACUGCCCCAAAUCAGAUGGUGCCUCUGAAGACAAUCAGCAUUGCACAGACCGUCCACAGCAUGACAGUAUCUUCCACAUUCAGUGGCUCUUGAUGUAGAACCACCCAUAGAUCCUUCUGCAAAAGAAGUCCAGAAAUCUUCAAUUGAACAAGCAACAGAAAUAACAAGUACCACAACUACCAUGAAAGGUACUGUUUGUUAAACUUCAUAGAAAGCCUUUAUGAACUUAAAAAUCUCUGUUUUUUCUGAUGUGCUUUGUUCAUUCAGGUCGAAAGGUGGUAAAGAAAAAGAAAUGGGACAGUGAUGAAAUGAAUGCAGUUGAAAAGCAUCUAAACAGGUUCAUCAAAACUUGUACAGUGCCAGGAAAACAACAAUGUGAGGCCUGUAUAAAUGCUGAACCUGUUGCCUUGAAAGACAGGGAUUGGUUGUCUGUAAAGUUCUUUGUGAAGAACAAAAUCACUACCCUUAAAAGAAGAAUGUAAAGUCAGUUAUUUUAUUUUGUUUGGUAUCUUAUUUUCUGGUAUUUUAGAUUUCUGGUUAUUACAUUUGUUUUAAAAGGAUCUUAGAAUCUCUUUUUUUUUUUUUUGGAAAUGGGUGCAAUUCAGU